CAGCACUUGAUAAGGCAGGUGAAUGGAGAUGAGAGGGAAACUAAAUCAGCCCAGAUUGAAUGGUGAACUAGACUCGAUGGGCUGAAUGGCCUAAUU